rnacentral:rRNA from 1 species
UACAGAGGUCUCAAGCGUUGUUCGGAAUCACUGGGCGUAAAGGGUGCGUAGGCGGCGGGGGAAAUCAGAUGUGAAAUCCGGAGGCUCAACCUCCGAAUGGCAUCCGAUACUACCUCGCUAGAGAUUUGUAGAGGAGCUUGGAAUUCUCGGUGUAGCAGUGAAAUGCGUAGAUAUCGAGAAGAACGCUCGCAGCGAAAGCGAAGCUCUGGGCAAAUUCUGACGCUGAUGCACGAAGGCUAGGGGAGCAAACGGG